rnacentral:rRNA from 1 species
UACGUAGGCAGCAAGCGUUGUUCGGAAUUACUGGGCGUAAAGAGUGUGUAGGCGGUGCUCUAAGUUCGGUGUGAAAUCUCCCGGCUCAACUGGGAGGGUGCGCCGAAAACUGGAGUGCUGGAGCGCGGGAGGGGAAAGCGGAAUUCCUGGUGUAGCGGUGAAAUGCGUAGAUAUCAGGAGGAACACCGGCGGUGUAGACGGCUUUCUGGACCGUAGCUGACGCUGAGACACGAAAGCGUGGGUAGCAAACAGG